rnacentral:pre_miRNA from 1 species
UACGUACUCCCUCCAUCCGGAAAUACUUGUUAUUAAAAUAGAUGUAUCUAGAUGUAUUUUAGUUGUAGAUAUAUCCAUUUUCAUCCAUUUUGAUAACAAGUAUUUCUGGACGAAGGGAGUACGUG